AGUGAACGCUGGCGGUAGGCCUAACACAUGCAAGUCGAACGGCAGCACAGUAAGAGCUUGCUCUUACGGGUGGCGAGUGGCGGACGGGUGAGGAAUACAUCGGAAUCUACUUUUUCGUGGGGGAUAACGUAGGGAAACUUACGCUAAUACCGCAUACGACCUACGGGUGAAAGCAGGGGAUCUUCGGACCUUGCGCGAUUGAAUGAGCCGAUGUCGGAUUAGCUAGUUGGCGGGGUAAAGGCCCACCAAGGCGACGAUCCGUAGCUGGUCUGAGAGGAUGAUCGGCCACACUGGAACUGAGACACGGUCCAGACUCCUACGGGAGGCAGCAGUAGGGAAUAUUGGACAAUGGGCGCAAGCCUGAUCGAGCAAUGCCGCGUGAGUGAAGAAGGCCUUCGGAUUGUAAAGCCCUUUUAUUGGGAAAGAAAAAAAGCGUAUGAAAACACCCCUGUCCUGACGGUACCCAAAGAGAAAGCAACGGCUAACUACGUG
rnacentral:rRNA from 1 species